rnacentral:rRNA from 1 species
GUUGUAUAGUUAAGUGACUAAGCGUACACGGUGGAUGCCUUGGCAAUCAGAGGCGAAGAAGGACGUGCUAAUCUGCGAAAAGCGUGGGGGAGCUGAUAAGGAGCGCAAAUCCCACGAUGUCCGAAUGGGGAAACCCGAUAGAUGAAGAAUCUAUCAUUGUUGUCUGAAUUCAUAGGGCAACAAGGCAAACCGGGAGAACUGAAACAUCUAAGUACCCCGAGGAAAAGAAAUCAACCGAGAUUCUGCGAGUAGCGGCGAGCGAAAGCGGAGGAGCCAGCGAGUGAUAGCAUAAGUUUUAGGAGAAUUGUCUGGGAAGGCAAGCGAGAGAGGGUGACAGCCCCGUAUCCGAAAAGACGGAUGUGGUACUAAGCACGCGAGAAGUAGGGCGGGACACGAGGAAUCCUGUUUGAAGAAGGGGGGACCAUCCUCCAAGGCUAAAUACUCCUGAUUGACCGAUAGUGAACCAGUACCGUGAGGGAAAGGCGAAAAGAACCCCGGGAGGGGAGUGAAAGAGAACCUGAAAUCGUGUACGUACAAGCAGUGGGAGCCCCAUCACUCAAUCGUAUUGAUUGAAGAGAGGGAGCGGAACUCAUCUCAUAAAGGUUAACAAUUUACGAAUGAAAUGAGUAAAUUGGUCAACCGAAAAAGAAGCAGUGGGAUUGAGUGAUGGGGUGACUGCGUACCUUUUGUAUAAUGGGUCAGCGACUUAUAUUUUGUAGCGAGGUUAACCGGAUAGGGGAGCCGAAGGGAAACCGAGUCUUAACUGGGCGGUUAGUUGCAAGAUAUAGACCCGAAACCCGGUGAUCUAGCCAUGGGCAGGAAGAAGGUUGGGUAACACUAACUGGAGGGCCGAACCGACUACUGUUGAAAAAGUAGCGGAUGACCUGUGGCUGGGGGUGAAAGGCCAAUCAAACCGGGAGAUAGCUGGUUCUCCCCGAAAUCUAUUUAGGUAGAGCCUUAUAUGAAUACCUUCGGGGGUAGAGCACUGUUUCGGCUAGGGGUCCAUCCCGGAUUACCAACCCGAUGCAAACUGCGAAUACCGAAGAGUAAUGUAUAGGAGACACACGGCGGGUGCUAACGUUCGUCGUGGAGAGGGAAACAACCCAGACCGCCAGCUAAGGUCCCAAAGUCUAUAUUAAGUGGGAAACGAAGUGGAAAGGCUUAGACAGCUAGGAUGUUGGCUUAGAAGCAGCCAUCAUUUAAAGAAAGCGUAAUAGCUCACUAGUCGAGUCGGUCUGCGCGGAAGAUGUAACGGGGCUAAAAUAUAGCACCGAAGCUGCGGCAUCAGGCGUAUCACACAUACGCCUUACGAUUAACACCUUGCGAAGCAAGGUGGUCAAGCGACUUACACGUUGAGGUGUGAGCGGGAGGGAUAAUCGAAGAGAGGAAUAUGUGUGAUACGUCUGUUGGGUAGGGGAGCGUUGUGUAAGCUGAAGAAGGUGGUUCGAGAGGGCUGCUGGAGGUAUCACAAGUGCGAAUGCUGACAUAAGUAACGAUAAAGCGGGUGAAAGGCCCGCUCGCCGGAAGACCAAGGUUUCCUGUCCAACGUUAAUCGGGGCAGGGUGAGUCGGCCCCUAAGGCGAGGCUGAGAAGCGUAGUCGAUGGGAAAUGGGUUAAUAUUCCCAUACUUGGAUAAACUGCGAUGUGGGGACGGAGCAGGUUAGGUUAGCGUACGGAUGGAAGAGUACGUUUAAGUUAGUAGGUGGGUGAGUUAGGCAAAUCCGGCUCACCAUUAACACUGAGAGAUGAUGACGAGGCUCUACGGAGCUGAAGUAACUGAUACCCAACUUCCAGGAAAAGCCACUAAGCGAGAGGUUUAUCUAAACCGUACUGGAAACCGACACAGGUGGUCAGGUAGAGAAUACUAAGGCGCUUGAGAGAACUCGGGUGAAGGAACUAGGCAAAAUAGCACCGUAACUUCGGGAGAAGGUGCGCUGGCGUAGUGUGAAGUUCUUUGCGAAUGGAGCAUGAACCAGUCGAAGCGACGAGCUGGCUGCAACUGUUUAAUAAAAACAGCACUCUGCAAACACGAAAGUGGACGUAUAGGGUGUGAUGCCUGCCCGGUGCUGGAAGGUUAAUUGAUGGUGUUAUCGAAAGAGAAGCACCUGAUCGAAGCCCCAGUAAACGGCGGCCGUAACUAUAACGG